UACGAGAGGCCCAAACGUUAUUCGGAUUUACUGGGCUUAAAGAGUUCGUAGGCGGCGCGGAAAGUAGGGUGUGAAAGCCCUCGGCUCAACCGAGGAAUUGCGCCCUAAACUGUCGCGCUCGAGGAACCUAGAGGUGAGCAGAACUGAUGGUGGAGCGGUGAAAUGCGUUGAUAUCAUCAGGAAUACCGGAGGCGAAGGCGGCUCACUGGGGGUUAUCUGACGCUGAGGAACGAAAGCCAGGGGAGCAAACGGG
rnacentral:rRNA from 1 species